GCCGAGCUAGCUCAGCUGGUAGAGCAACUGAUUUGUAAUCAGUAGGUCGAGGGUUCGAGUCCCCCGCUCGGCA
rnacentral:tRNA from 1 species